UUGAUUUUACAAGGCUUCUAACGUCAUUGGAUUUCUACGGGCUUGUUUACAUUUUUUUUUGUCUUUACUAGUAAUGUAAAAAGUUGUUUUUGUUGUGAUGAAAUGGGAUUGUCGUGAAGAUAUGUGUUUCUUUGGAUAUCUGGUGAGAAAAACUAUAAGACAUUGGUAGUGUGUUUUUUAUGCCGGGAUGUGUAGUAGUCGUUCAUUAAUUUCGCGGACAGGCCGACAUUCGAUUCGCGGCAUAACGAUCCGAUUUUUGAGGACCCAUUGGUAAUGGAGAAUGUAAAGGAGCCCAAGCGUAAGCGUCAUGUGUACGUAACACGAGAACAACCAUUUCCCGUCGUUAUAGAAAGUGUUUCCGGUAUACCUGUGAGUGAGCGUCUGUGGCAAACAUACACUGGUCGCUACAACGGCGACUGUGUAGUGGUGGAGAAAAAAAAUGACAUACACUCAUUAUAUACAAAGGGUUUCUUUGGGAAAGGUUCACUAUCAAGGCAUUUUCCCACUUUUGGAAGAGUCAAGAAUGGCAUUCCUCCAUUUAUUUCAGAGCGCCAGUGGAAGCAGAGAAACAAGUGGAAAGAAGAUUCUGAAUCUGAAGAGAUUGCUAUUUCAGUGAAAGUUGAAGACAAUAGUGGAUAUCUAAUAAAAGAAGAGGUCAACAGUGAUACAGACCAUUCAUCAUCACAUUUAAUGCAAAGUAUUGGAGGUUUGGUUAAGGAACAAGGUCCUCAAGUGUUCCCACCUGACUGGCAGAGUGAACAAAAAGAUACAGAGUCACCACAGCCUUUGCAUACUUCAUACCAAGCACCUACAAUAAGAUUUCACAGGGAUCCCCCCAAGAAACGAGUAACUGUAGUGAACCCUGUGUCAGAACAAACCAGCAGUGACAAUGUAAAUGCAGGAGAAGGAACUUCAUCAGGAACUGGUGGUGCAUCUAGAUCCCCAGUUGGAGGUAGUGCCAAAGAUAGAAGCAAAUCACAAAAAAGGGGAAGUGAUGUUGAGGAAGACAGCAGAUCACAUGUGAUUGAAGCAGGUAGGGUUGGACUGAUGGAUACAGAAGAGAUCAAAAGUGAAAUAAGGACAGAUGACGAGUCUCCGUCAGCCAGUGAGCGCCUUUCAUUACAAAGGAAUGUUGAAAAUGAAGUUGUUGUAUUGCGUGAUUCAGACAGUGAAGAAGAGGAAUUGGUAAUAGAUAAACUGGAGGCGAGGUUGGUGCAAAACCCGUAUCCAGUACCUGAACACUUGCACUUGACACUAGAAGAAGCCUUCUUUCUGUCGUAUGCUCUUGGAUGUUUGCAAGUACUGGACCUCACAGGCAAAGUGAUGACAUUAAGAGAACUGUGGGAGACAUUUCGUGCAUCAGAUGCUGAGUUUGUGCAAAAGUAUGUUGCCUAUCACCAUUUCCGUGGAAAAGGAUGGGUAGUCAAAUCAGGACUUAAAUAUGGCGGAGAUUUCUUACUGUACAAGGAAGGCCCUCCAUUCUAUCAUGCAUCAUACAUUGUUCUGGUAGAAGUACUACGGCAAGCUGACUUGGGCAGGAGCUCCUCACACAAUCGCCGGUCAAUCUCUUGGCCAUUGCUGUUUGGGGUCAAUCGUCUUGCUGAAACUGUUGGCAAACGGAGUGUGCACUGAUAUGGAACUUCCUGGCAGAUUAAACCUGUGUGCUGGACUAAGACUGGAACUCAGAACCUUUACCGCGAACUGUGGAAAUACUGAUGUGUCGUGUGGUAUGGCCACGUUCAGUAGCUGACCAUGGUCCAAAUACCCCACAGCAGCUUGCUCGAUUUUGUGUACAAGAGGUCCUGCUCAAAAGAUGGGUCUCUUCCCAAGAACGAGAAGAACUU
rnacentral:misc_RNA from 1 species